CGUAUGAUACGCGAGGAACCGUUACCUGGGCGUAGAACGCAUUCGGAAGUCAGGCCGAAAGGACCGUGCGCCAGCGAUGGCCGCUUGCGAGGUGCUGCAUGGUUGUCGUCAGCUCCGUGCCGUGAGGUGUCGGGUUAAGUCCCAUAACGAGCGCAACCCCUACUGCUAGUUGCCAGCGGGUCAUGCCGGGGACUCUAGCGGAACUGCCAGCGUAAGCUGCGAGGAAGGUGGGGAUGACGUCAAAUCAGCACGGCCCUUACGUCCAGGGCUACACACGUGUUACAAUGGCCGGUACAGAGGGCAGCCACCCCGCGAGGGGGCGCGAAUCCCGAAAGCCGGUCCCAGUUCGGAUCGGAGUCUGCAACCCGACUCCGUGAAGCUGGAUUCGCUAGUAAUCGCGCAUCAGCCACGGCGCGGUGAAUACGUUCCCGGGCCUU
rnacentral:rRNA from 1 species